rnacentral:sRNA from 3 species
UCGAUUAAGGUUCGAUUCGAGCGCAGCGAGAAAGCGUUGCCGCAGGCAACGACCCGAAGGGCGAAGCGCGCAGCGCUGAGUCAUCCUUCCCCCACCACCA